rnacentral:rRNA from 1 species
UACGUAGGGUGCAAGCGUUAAUCGGAAUUACUGGGCGUAAAGCGUGCGCAGGCGGUUUUGUAAGACAGAGGUGAAAUCCCCGGGCUUAACCUGGGAACUGCCUUUGUGACUGCAAGGCUUGAGUGCGGCAGAGGGGGAUGGAAUUCCGCGUGUAGCAGUGAAAUGCGUAGAUAUGCGGAGGAACACCGAUGGCGAAGGCAAUCCCCUGGACCUGUACUGACGCUCAUGCACGAAAGCGUGGGGAGCAAACAGG